GUCAUGGAGAGUUUGAUCCUGGCUCAGGACGAACGCUGGCGGCGUGCGUAAUACAUGCAAGUCGAGCGGACCU
rnacentral:rRNA from 1 species